CCGCUGAGACCUGGGAGUNGACGAAAGAGAACCGGCGCACAGGCUGCUGCAUGUCUGUCGUCAGCUCGUGUCGUGAGAUGUUGGGUUAAGUCCCGCAACGAGCGCAACCCUUGGUCCUUAGUUGCUACGCAAGAGCACUCUAAGGAGACUGCCGGUGACAAACCGGAGGAAGGUGGGGAUGACGUCAAGUCCUCAUGGCCCUUAUGGGUAGGGCUUCACACGUCAUACAAUGGUCGGAACAGAGGGUUGCCAACCCGCGAGGGGGAGCUAAUCCCAGAAAACCGAUCGUANUCCGGAUUGCACUCUGCAACUCGAGUGCAUGAAGCUGGAAUCGCUAGUAAUCGCGGAUCAGCAUGCCGCGGUGAAUACGUUC
rnacentral:rRNA from 1 species